rnacentral:rRNA from 1 species
UACAGAGGUCUCAAGCGUUGUUCGGAUUCAUUGGGCGUAAAGGGUGCGUAGGCGGCGCGGUAAGUCGGGUGUGAAAUUUCGAGGCUUAACUCCGAAACUGCAUUCGAUACUGGCGUGCUUGAGGACUGGAGAGGAGACUGGAAUUCAUGGUGUAGCAGUGAAAUGCGUAGAGAUCAUGAGGAAGACCAGUGGCGAAGGCGGGUCUCUGGACAGUUCCUGACACUGAGACACGAAGGCCAGGGGAGCAAACGGG